UAGGGAAUAUUAGUAAUGGGCGAAAGCCUGAACUAGCAACACCGCGUGUGCGAAGAAGGCCUUCGGGUUGUAAAGCACUUUUUGAGAGGAUGAGGAAGGACGGUACUCUCAGAAUAAGUCUCGGCUAACUACGUGCCAGCAGCCGCGGCAACACGUAGGAGGCAAACGUUAUCCGGAUUUACUGGGCGUAAAGCGCGUGUAGGUGGUUCUGUAAGUAGGGCGUGAAAGCUCCCGGCUCAACUGGGAGAGGCCGUUCUAAACUACAGAACUAGAGGAUGGUAGAGGGAGGUGGAAUUCCAGGUGUAGCGGUGGAAUGCGCAGAUAUCUGGAGGAACACCAGUGGCGAAAGCGGCCUCCUGGACCAUUCCUGACACUCAGACGCGAAAGCUAGGGUAGCAAACG
rnacentral:rRNA from 1 species